GAUGAACGCUGGCGGCGUGCCUAAUACAUGCAAGUCGAGCGAACAGACGAGGAUCUUGCUCCUCUGACGUUAGCGGCGGACGGGGGAGUAACACGUGGAUAGCCUACCUAUAAGACUGGGAUAACUUCGGGAAACCGGAGCUAAUACCGAAUAAUAUAUAGAACCGCAGGGUUCAAUAGUGAAAGACGGUUGUGCUGUCACUUAUAGAGGGAUCCGCGCCGGAUUAGCUAGUUGGUAAGGUAACGGCUUACCAAGGCAACGAUGCGUAGCCGACCUGAGAGGGUGAUCGGCCACACUGGAACUGAGACACGGUCCCGACUCCUACGGGAGGCAGCAGUAGGGAAUCUUCCGCAUUGGGCGAAAGCCUGACGGAGCAACGCCGCGUGAGCGAUGAAGGUCUUCGGAUCGUAAAACUCUGUUAUUAGCGAAGACGAAAUGUGUACGUAACUAGGAACGUCUUGACGGUACCUAAUCAGAAAGCCCCGGCUAACUACGUG
rnacentral:rRNA from 1 species